GAUGAACGCUGGCGGCGUGCCUAAUACAUGCAAGUCGAGCGAACGGACGAGAAGCUUGCUUCUCUGAUGUUAGCGGCGGACGGGUGAGUAACACGUGGAUAACCUACCUAUAAGACUGGGAUAACUUCGGGAAACCGGAGCUAAUACCGGAUAAUAUUUUGAACCGCAUGGUUCAAAAGUGAAAGACGGUCUUGCUGUCACUUAUAGAUGGAUCCGCGCUGCAUUAGCUAGUUGGUAAGGUAACGGCUUACCAAGGCAACGAUGCAUAGCCGACCUGAGAGGGUGAUCGGCCACACUGGAACUGAGACACGGUCCAGACUCCUACGGGAGGCAGCAGUAGGGAAUCUUCCGCAAUGGGCGAAAGCCUGACGGAGCAACGCCGCGUGAGUGAUGAAGGUCUUCGGAUCGUAAAACUCUGUUAUUAGGGAAGAACAUAUGUGUAAGUAACUGUGCACAUCUUGACGGUACCUAAUCAGAAAGCCAUGGCUAACUACGUGCCAGCAGCCGCGGUAAUACGUAGGUGGCAAGCGUUAUCCGGAAUUAUUGGGCGUAAAGCGCGCGUAGGCGGUUUUUUAAGUCUGAUGUGAAAGCCCACGGCUCAACCGUGGAGGGUCAUUGGAAACUGGAAAACUUGAGUGCAGAAGAGGAAAGUGGAAUUCCAUGUGUAGCGGUGAAAUGCGCAGAGAUAUGGAGGAACACCAGUGGCGAAGGCGACUUUCUGGUCUGUAACUGACGCUGAUGUGCGAAAGCGUGGGGAUCAAACAGGAUUAGAUACCCUGGUAGUCCACGCCGUAAACGAUGAGUGCUAAGUGUUAGGGGGUUUCCGCCCCUUAGUGCUGCAGCUAACGCAUUAAGCACUCCGCCUGGGGAGUACGACCGCAAGGUUGAAACUCAAAGGAAUUGACGGGGACCCGCACAAGCGGUGGAGCAUGUGGUUUAAUUCGAAGCAACGCGAAGAACCUUACCAAAUCUUGACAUCCUUUGACAACUCUAGAGAUAGAGCCUUCCCCUUCGGGGGACAAAGUGACAGGUGGUGCAUGGUUGUCGUCAGCUCGUGUCGUGAGAUGUUGGGUUAAGUCCCGCAACGAGCGCAACCCUUAAGCUUAGUUGCCAUCAUUAAGUUGGGCACUCUAAGUUGACUGCCGGUGACAAACCGGAGGAAGGUGGGGAUGACGUCAAAUCAUCAUGCCCCUUAUGAUUUGGGCUACACACGUGCUACAAUGGACAAUACAAAGGGCAGCGAAACCGCGAGGUCAAGCAAAUCCCAUAAAGUUGUUCUCAGUUCGGAUUGUAGUCUGCAACUCGACUACAUGAAGCUGGAAUCGCUAGUAAUCGUAGAUCAGCAUGCUACGGUGAAUACGUUCCCGGGUCU
rnacentral:rRNA from 1 species